GACGAACGCUGGCGGCGUGCUUAACACAUGCAAGUCGAACGGUGAAGCGAGUGCUUGCACUCGUGGAUCAGUGGCGAACGGGUGAGUAACACGUGAGUAACCUGCCCAUCACUCUGGGAUAAGCACUGGAAACGGUGUCUAAUACUGGAUACGACCAACCCUUGCAUGGGGUGUUGGUGGAAAGAUUUAUCGGUGAUGGAUGGACUCGCGGCCUAUCAGCUUGUUGGCGGGGUAAUGGCCCACCAAGGCGACGACGGGUAGCCGGCCUGAGAGGGUGACCGGCCACACUGGGACUGAGACGCGGCCCAGACUCCUACGGGAGGCAGCAGUGGGGAAUAUUGCACAAUGGGCGAAAGCCUGAUGCAGCGACGCCGCGUGAGGGAUGACGGCCUUCGGGUUGUAAACCUCUUUCAGCAGGGAAGAAGCGAAAGUGACGGUACCUGCAGAAGAAGCACCGGCUAACUACGUG
rnacentral:rRNA from 1 species